UUCCAAGGAAAGAUUCAAAGAGUCUGCUAAGUAGUAUUAGAAAAGUAUAUACAGUAUGUAUAAUCAGCUGAAGCCAGUUCCAUUAUAACAGAAAUGGAAAAGAAAUAAAAGAUUGUAAAUGAAAUAUGCAAUUAAUUUUUAUUUGUGAGCUUGCUUAUACUUUUAUGUAGCUUUUGUUUUUGAUCAGGCAGAGAAAAAAUGUCGAACAAAAGCAGUCUUUCCAGAUGUUUACCGGGAGUUUGAAGAGCUCCAUUCAAUGGUAAAGAAAAUGAGUCAAGAUUAUUUUAAUAAUUCUGAAUUAAAGCAACAAUUAGAAAUAAAAAACCACAAGGUAGCUGAAUCACUAGGAAUUACAGAUAGUUGUCUUGAAGUGCCAAAAAUCCAGACAAAUUCUUUUCCUGAAUGUACUGAAUCUACUGAUGACCCUAUAUUGCUCCAUAUUUCAGGACAGAAAUGAGCAGCUGAGAAACAUGCAGCAAAAAUGUUCUGCAAGAAUAUGGAAAAAAAGAAUAUGAAUUGCUCCAACCAAGAAUUGUAGAUGAUAAAGCAAAUACAGAUUUAUAUGAUCAACACACUCAGGAAAAAUUGAACAUUUACAGCCUGUAAAUAUACCAGGAUUAGAUUAUUUGAGAUGCCCAUCUGACAAUAGUUCACAAGAAGAACAAAGAUAAAUUCACGUUGGGACACAGUAAAUGAAAUGACUUAUUAUAUCUCUUGAAACAUCUGAAAAAUACAGUCAUCAUUAUUCCUUGGUUUCUUCAUGAAAAAACAGUAAAAUAUAUCAAGAACUUAAGAAAAAAUGCUUUCUGUAAACAUAUUCUGAACUUUCUUAAACUUUAAUAGUUUCAACAGUAUUAAACAUCACAGGAACAGUUCAUCAGUUUAGAUCUCAGGAAAUUGAAUGGACUAGCUUCAUCCUUCCUUGAAAAUAUAUGAUUAAUUAAUUUAAUAGUGGAAGUAUUUUAGUGGAAGAAAACAAGAAUAUAUUAAGUACAACAUGAUAAUGUUGAAGAUUAUGGAAACUAGGAACUUUUCUUGUGGGUAUAGGCUUUGCUUCUUCCUGGUACUAUAUAUUAUACAUCUGUUUGUGAAAGAAUUUGCUGCUGCUAUGUAUAUUUCUAAAAAUUAUUUGGAAGUUGCAGUACUUCUAGCAGUGAUACUAAACUUAAGCCAUUAUAAAAAUAUUUUUGAAGCAGUUUUGAAAGUCUACCUGAAAUGUAUAUUAAAUAUGAUUUUUUUUAGUUCCACAAACUUGUCCAUAUUUAACAUAUACCACAAGUUCUAAAAAUAUCCAGGUUUAGGUGUUACCUCCUUAGAAUGAUAAUCUUCCUCCCCCUUUGCUAAUCUGGUCCUAAUAAUAUUGUCUUCUCUUCAGGUAUUCGGGAGCAGGUUGUCUUUUUCUAACCAUGACGCCAACAUGAUAAAACAUGCAUUGGGAUGCUACCAUGCAAGCGUUAUGCUUUUGUAGUUGCAUUGCCAUAUUGCCCACAAUUACGUAACUUAUAGAGUUUGCAUCAUAUCACAAUGCACUUUUGUCACUUUGUCCCUACUUGCACAUGCUUUUGUCUGCAUAAGAGAAGAUGUAUUGGCUUCCUAAGAGUCAAUAUUCUCAUAAUGGCUGAAUGAGCCAAUUCUGCAGGAAAGCUAGCAGCACCUAAAAUACAAUCUUAAUGAGGAGCUUAAUCAGUGAUACUAUAGGGAAUUAAUAGAAAACGAAUUUCUCCUAAGAGACAAAUAUAUUGCACCAAUUGCUAUGGAUAUAUUAAUGCUUGGCUACCUAAAGUAUUGUAUAAAUUUAAGGACAGCUGCCAGAAUUCCUUUAAAAAUGAACAUUUAAAUUCUUGUGUAUGCUAUCCUGAAUAAACUUGAAAAAAAGUGCUUUACAGAUUGCUGUUUCUAUCAGAUUUCCAAUUCAAUUUUACCUUUUUAAAAUGUAGAAAAGCUAUUUGAGAUUUAAAGUGCUACAGAUUGUUCCUGAUAUUGAAUCAUUUUAAUGUUUUAAAACAUCACCUAUUCUAGGAUAAUAAACAGAUAACCAAGGUUU